rnacentral:rRNA from 1 species
GGGAGGCGAGUAGAGUGGCGCACGGGUGAGUAACACGUAGGUAAUCUACCUUUGGAUGGGGAAUAACAACCGGAAACGGUUGCUAAUACCGCAUAAUGCAGCGGCACCUAAUGGUGACAGUUGUUAAAGCGGGGGAUCGAAAGACCUCGCGUCUGAAGAGGAGCCUGCGGCGGAUUAGCUAGUUGGUAAGGUAAUGGCUUACCAAGGCGAUGAUCCGUAACCGGCCUGAGAGGGCGGUCGGUCACACUGACACUGACAUACGGGUCAGACUCCUACGGGAGGCAGCAGUCGGGAAUUUUGGGCAAUGGGCGAAAGCCUGACCCAGCAACGCCGCGUGAAGGAUGAAAUCCCUCGGGAUGUAAACUUCGCAAGAACAGGAAGAAUAAGUAAGGGUUAAUAUCUCUUACGAUGACGGUACUGUUUGUAAGCUCCGGCUAACUCCGUGCCAGCAGCCGCGGUAAUACGGGGGGAGCAAGCGUUGUUCGGAUUUACUGGGCGUAAAGGGCGCGUAGGCGGCCACCGCAAGUCGGUUGUGAAAUCUCUGGGCUUAACCCAGAAAGGUCAACCGAUACUGCGGGGCUAGAGUGCAGAAGGGGCAACUGGAAUUCUCGGUGUAGCGGUGAAAUGCGUAGAUAUCGAGAGGAACACCUGCGGCGAAGGCNGGUUGCUGGGCUGACACUGACGCUGAAGCGCGAAAGCUAGGGGAGCGAACGGGAUUAGAUACCCCGGUAGUCCUAGCCCUAAACGAUGAAUGCUUG